GCCAUAAAUCUAGCCCGCAUCCCCAGAAAUAUUAACCCGAAUUUACCAAAAUUCAAUAAAACAUUUUUAUGUUAAAGUAGAGGAGAUCAAAAAAUCUCUAAGCGCUUAAGACAAGGUACCGAAAGGGAAAGAUGAAAUAGAAAUGAAACAACCCACAAGCCCAUAAUAGCAGAGAUUCACCCUCG
rnacentral:rRNA from 1 species